rnacentral:tRNA from 1 species
GGCCCCUUGGCGAAACUGGUAAACGCAGUCGACUUAAAAUCGACCGCCUCACGGCUUGCGGGUUCGACCCCCGCAGGGGCCACCA